CACGUAGGCGGAUAUUUAAGUCAGGGGUGAAAUCCCAGAGCUCAACUCUGGAACUGCCUUUGAUACUGGGUAUCUUGAGUAUGGAAGAGGUAAGUGGAAUUCCGAGUGUAGAGGUGAAAUUCGUAGAUAUUCGGGGGAACACCAGUGGCGAAGGCGGCUUACUGGUCCAUUACUGACGCUGAGGCGCGAAAGCGUGGGGAGCAAACA
rnacentral:rRNA from 1 species